rnacentral:rRNA from 1 species
UGACGGAGCAAACGCCGCGUGAGUGAUGAAGGUUUUCGGAUCGUAAAACUCUGUUGUCAGGGAAGAACAAGUACCGGAGUAACUGCCGGUACCUUGACGGUACCUGACCAGAAAGCCACGGCUAACUACGUGCCAGCAGCCGCGGUAAUACGUAGGUGGCAAGCGUUGUCCGGAAUUAUUGGGCGUAAAGCGCGCGCAGGCGGUUCCUUAAGUCUGAUGUGAAAGCCCCCGGCUCAACCGGGGAGGGUCAUUGGAAACUGGGGAACUUGAGUGCAGAAGAGAAGAGUGGAAUUCCACGUGUAGCGGUGAAAUGCGUAGAGAUGUGGAGGAACACCAGUGGCGAAGGCGACUCUUUGGUCUGUAACUGACGCUGAGGCGCGAAAGCGUGGGGAGCAAACAGGAUUAGAUACCCUGGUAGUCCACGCCGUAAACGAUGAGUGCUAAGUGUUAGAGGGUUUCCGCCCUUUAGUGCUGCAGCAAACGCAUUAAGCACUCCGCCUGGGGAGUACGGCCGCAAGGCUGAAACUCAAAGGAAUUGACGGGGGCCCGCACAAGCGGUGGAGCAUGUGGUUUAAUUGGAAGCAACGCGAAGAACCUUACCAGGUCUUGACA